CGCCGCGGUUAUACGAGAGGCCCAAGUCGAUAAAAAGCGGCGUAAAGGGUGGUUAAGGAAUUUUUUAACUAGAGAAGAACGCUCUCCGAGCUGUUAUACGCCCACAAGAGUGUGAACCCCUACUGCGAAGGCGACUUUAUUUUACCUGAAUCCACGACAGCUCCGGCA
rnacentral:rRNA from 1 species